CACCUGGAUUCACUUGGUGUCUAUGUCAUGGAAAUAUCAGGUGUUCUUACUGUUUUGUAAACUCAGUGUACAUCCCCAUGGUGACUUGAUCUCUAGUCUUGGUCAUAUGCCAACCAAAAAAACGAGUUUGUAAUUUGAUGAUGUCGACCAUAAAUUGUUAUCUUUAUGUAAAGUAUUUAGGAAAUGUUGGAAUUUUUCAAAUGUGUUGGCUCCUACCAGAUCUUAAAACAUAUUUAAAGAUGAACAAUAAAUCAAGAAUAUUAUUGCAUACUAUGCUACAACAUACUUAUUAAAUAUAAUUUACUCAAUGUGCAUAAGUGGAGUCUCCCUUUCAGGUUGCUUGAUUUACAAUAUAGGAACAUAAACACAGUCUUGGUAGGUCCACUCUUUCUAGAAGAAUCUUUCAGCAAGACAACAGAGAGGAGGCUUGAUGAGGUUGACUGACACAAGGGUGUGUUCAAAGAAGGAGGAGAUCAGAUCCUCUUUCUAAACACUCCAGCUACAGUACUUCUCCUCCUGUCUGCUCAUCAAAGCCAAACAAGCCUUGGAGAGGGAGAGAAGGAUUCAAAGAGAAUACUUGUUCCAGAGGAUUCAGAGGAAGAAUUUGAGCAAAAAAGAAGUUGCCCAACACUACAAACUUCAUAUACUUUUUGGAGGACAGAAGGGGGAGGAGAAAGGUUGAAUCAAGCUGCUUCAGUCACUCUGUCCUUGUCAAAUGAGCCAGAAUAUCAUACUGUAUUUGUCUAGUUAAAUCCACUGGCUAUUUUACAUAGCUUUUACAUUAAUCUCGGCACCCAGAACCACAUCAGCUACUCAAUGUUAAGGCUGUCACGAGAGACUUCUUAACCAUAACAGUUUGCAUUAAAUAUCUAUUUUUUCUAUCACAAAAUCCUGUUUCUUAUACAUCUCCGUAAAAGGUUUUCUUAAACAGACAAACACCUUUACCCUUUUACAUAUUUUCAGUGGUAAUGUGGUUCCCAACAGUAUUGGUUACUGUUUCUGGGUAAGAAUAGUAUUAUCUUUCCCCCAACAUCUUUAAAGUAAAAACAGCACAUAAUUUAGACCGUGUAUACUGACCACAGUAUGUUGAUAUAGUUACCUUGCUCUACUGUGACACAUAUCCAUGUUUUUAUAUCUCACUAUCUAUGUAGUUAUGCAUGUGUAACAGAUACAACAUACACAUACCUUUUGUGAUCUUUCUCGUUGAAUUUACAGUAUGGGAAUGUUUAGACUGUUUUCUUUGCCCAGGUGCAGCACCUGACCUCUUCUUCAGCCAGCAGUCCUUGGAUGAGUCCUUCAGUGACACCCGAGAAGUCAAACCAUCUCACUGCUCAAAGGGAUUCGUGGUUGACAAAGACUUUUUCUGGAAUGACAUUCUGAAGGUGUAUGAACGGGACCUACAUCAUUGCCAGCUUGCCUGCACUAACCCUAACCCUACUUCAGCUACGUGGUUAAAGAGUAUAACCUAUUUGAGUAUCUGGGUUGUCUGUUUGAGUGGAGUUCACACUACUUCUUUUGGUAAUUAGUUGAAGGAUGUGGUUAGAGAAAUGUCACCCCUCUCAAAUGCAGAUCUAUGGAUUCAUGCACUGACUAUGCAUGAGAUCAAAAUGAUACGCAGUAUUUGUUAACAAUUACAUUGAUUACAUUGAUUACAUUUAUUUUAAUGUUAAACAGAAAUGACAUAGGAAGUGCAUCUGUCAUGACUUCCGCCGAAGUCGGUCCCUCUUCUUGUUUGGGCGGCGUUCGGCGGUCGACAUCACCGACCUUCUAGCCAUCGCCGAUCCACUUUUCAUUUUCCAUUUGUUUUGUCUUUGGUUUACACACCUGGUUUCAAUUCCCCAACUACAUGUUAAUUAUUCAACCCUAUGUUUUCCCCAUGAUUUUUGUGAGUGAUUGUUUUAUUGUAAGUUCGGUCCGUUGUUCGUGGGCUUGGUAUUUGUUCAUGUAUUUGGAAAAUUUGAGUAAAGUUCAUUGUGUUACUCAUCUCUGCCGUCCUGCGCCUUACUCCUCUGCACCAGCUACACCCAGAACCUUACAGCAUCAGU